rnacentral:lncRNA from 1 species
UUCUUCAGUGAUAACUCGUCAUUGCUAACUACAGCUUCCAGUCAAAGAACUUUCCGGGUCCCACUCCUGGGAGCCCUGAAGGAGACGCAAAGAUUCUACCCCAAGUCUGGGACAGUGCCUUCUUCUCAAAUAUCACGAGAGAACUUUGGGAUUCUCCCUGUCUCCAGGCUGCCUUAUGUGAUUUACCUUCAAGGAAUGAUGUGUCAUUCUGAGCCUGGGGUUGAAAUUUCUACACAAGCGGGGAUGCUGUCAUGUACACAAGUCACAGUAACUUGUGUCCUCUGCAGGGGGCUUUCUCAUGACACUUUACAAACUGUGGAGACACUCUUAGCCUGCAGCUGAGAGAGUACUUGACAACUGCCCAAGCACUGUCCGCUUGAGCUAGGG